ensembl:miRNA
CUGCCCAUGAUGACUGCUGACCUCGGUCUCUGCAGGGACCAGAAGCGAGGUUCAGAGGUAG